rnacentral:rRNA from 1 species
GCGUUAUCCGGAUUUAUUGGGCGUAAAGCGAGCGCAGACGGUUUAUUAAGUCUGAUGUGAAAGCCCGGAGCUCAACUCCGGAAUGGCAUUGGAAACUGGUUAACUUGAGUGCAGUAGAGGUAAGUGGAACUCCAUGUGUAGCGGUGGAAUGCGUAGAUAUAUGGAAGAACACCAGUGGCGAAGGCGGCUUACUGGACUGCAACUGACGUUGAGGCUCGAAAGUGUG